rnacentral:rRNA from 1 species
UACGGGGGGGGGCAAGCGUUGUUCGGAAUUACUGGGCGUAAAGGGCUUGUAGGUGGCCAACUAAGUCAGACGUGAAAUCCCUCGGCUUAACCGGGGAACUGCGUCUGAUACUGGAUGGCUUGAGUUUGGGAGAGGGAUGCGGAAUUCCAGGUGUAGCGGUGAAAUGCGUAGAUAUCUGGAGGAACACCGGUGGCGAAAGGCGGCGAU